AGAGUUUGAUCAUGGCUCAGAUUGAACGCUGGCGGCAGGCCUAACACAUGCAAGUCGAACGGUAACAGGAAACAGCUUGCUGUUUUCGCUGACGAGUGGCGGACGGGUGAGUAAUGUCUGGGAAACUGCCUGAUGGAGGGGGAUAACUACUGGAAACGGUAGCUAAUACCGCAUAACGUCGCAAGACCAAAGAGGGGGACCCUCGGGCCUCUUGCCAUCGGAUGUGCCCAGAUGGGAUUAGCUUGUUGGUGGGGUAACGGCUCACCAAGGCGACGAUCCCUAGCUGGUCUGAGAGGAUGACCAGCCACACUGGAACUGAGACACGGUCCAGACUCCUACGGGAGGCAGCAGUGGGGAAUAUUGCACAAUGGGCGCAAGCCUGAUGCAGCCAUGCCGCGUGUAUGAAGAAGGCCUUCGGGUUGUAAAGUACUUUCAGCGGGGAGGAAGGGAGUAAAGUUAAUACCUUUGCUCAUUGACGUUACCCGCAGAAGAAGCACCGGCUAACUCCGUGCCAGCAGCCGCGGUAAUACGGAGGGUGCAAGCGUUAAUCGGAAUUACUGGGCGUAAAGCGCACGCAGGCGGUUUGUUAAGUCAGAUGUGAAAUCCCCGGGCUCAACCUGGGAACUGCAUCUGAUACUGGCAAGCUUGAGUCUCGUAGAGGGGGGUAGAAUUCCAGGUGUAGCGGUGAAAUGCGUAGAGAUCUGGAGGAAUACCGGUGGCGAAGGCGGCCCCCUGGACGAAGACUGACGCUCAGGUGCGAAAGCGUGGGGAGCAAACAGGAUUAGAUACCCUGGUAGUCCACGCCGUAAACGAUGUCGACUUGGAGGUUGUGCCCUUGAGGCGUGGCUUCCGGAGCUAACGCGUUAAGUCGACCGCCUGGGGAGUACGGCCGCAAGGUUAAAACUCAAAUGAAUUGACGGGGGCCCGCACAAGCGGUGGAGCAUGUGGUUUAAUUCGAUGCAACGCGAAGAACCUUACCUGGUCUUGACAUCCACGGAAGUUUUCAGAGAUGAGAAUGUGCCUUCGGGAACCGUGAGACAGGUGCUGCAUGGCUGUCGUCAGCUCGUGUUGUGAAAUGUUGGGUUAAGUCCCGCAACGAGCGCAACCCUUAUCCUUUGUUGCCAGCGGUCCGGCCGGGAACUCAAAGGAGACUGCCAGUGAUAAACUGGAGGAAGGUGGGGAUGACGUCAAGUCAUCAUGGCCCCUUACGACCAGGGCUACACACGUGCUACAAUGGCGCAUACAAAGAGAAGCGACCUCGCGAGAGCAAGCGGACCUCAUAAAGUGCGUCGUAGUCCGGAUUGGAGUCUGCAACUCGACUCCAUGAAGUCGGAAUCGCUAGUAAUCGUGGAUCAGAAUGCCACGGUGAAUACGUUCCCGGGCCUUGUACACACCGCCCGUCACACCAUGGGAGUGGGUUGCAAAAGAAGUAGGUAGCUUAACCUUCGGGAGGGCGCUUACCACUUUGUGAUUCAUGACUGGGGUGAAGUCGUAACAAGGUA
rnacentral:rRNA from 1 species